GUUUGAUCCUGGCUCAGAUUGAACGCUGGCGGCAUGCUUUACACAUGCAAGUCGAACGGCAGCACGGGAGCAAUCCUGGUGGCGAGUGGCGAACGGGUGAGUAAUAUAUCGGAACGUGCCCAGUCUGGGGGAUAACGUAGCGAAAGCUACGCUAAUACCGCAUACGAUCUAUGGAUGAAANCGGGGGAUCGCAAGACCUCGCGCGAUUGGAGCGGCCGAUAUCAGAUUAGGUAGUUGGUGAGGUAAAGGCUCACCAAGCCGACGAUCUGUAGCUGGUCUGAGAGGACGACCAGCCACACUGGGACUGAGACACGGUCCAGACUCCUACGGGAGGCAGCAGUGGGGAAUAUUGGACAAUGGGCGAAAGCCUGAUCCAGCAAUGCCGCGUGAGUGAUGAAGGCCUUCGGGUCGUAAAGCUCUUUUACCAGGGAUGAUAAUGACAGUACCUGGAGAAUAAGCUCCGGCUAACUCCGUG
rnacentral:rRNA from 1 species